ACAGACUUUUAUUGAAAAAGACUACAGCAAAUCAUACUGAGGUGAAUGAAGACAGUGAAAUGAAGGAGAAGGCAGGUCCUCUUUAUGUUUUCGCAGCUGGUUCAAGGGGUUUGGGGUUUUCUAUCUAGGUUAAAGAUUGCGUAAUACACAGCUGGAGCCAUAGACAUUAAUGCAUGUUUAUCACACGCAACAACGAUGCUGCAUCAUGUGAUUACAGCUGGGCCUGUGCUGCUUCUACACCUCCCUCGCCCUGACACUUCCACCAGGUUGCUCCUCACCUCCGUCUCUGCUUUUAUCCUCUUACUGCUCCUUUCAGGACCAGCAGAAAUGUCAGCUUCCCAGGAAUCCUUCCCUGGAUCUCUGCAGCAAGAAAUAGCUUCUCUGAUCACUGUAGCACUUGGUUCUUUAAUAUCUUUAUCUUGCUCUACCUUGUUAUAUUUUUCUUGUGAACUUAAAAUUCCCUGUGAGGACGUAAACCUUUGAAGGUAUGUCUCAUAUCUCUGAACCUCUUUAAAAUGCCUAGCAUCCCUGUGUGGGUGCCAAUUGCUUGUGUAUUGAAUUAAAUUGUGAUUGUUAACUUAACAUCACAGGCAUGUAACUUAUUAAGAAUCUAAGAAAGCCACUAGGUUUCCAGUUAUAUGGAGAGAAACGGGUAACAAGAGAAUACAAGAAUAUUAAGCUUCAUCAGAUUCCAUGUUCUGAAGGUCAAGGUGGAAAGAAAACCCUAACACCUCUUCGUAUUUAGAAAACAACUAUGUUUUUUAGGCAUAAAACAAAUGCAAUUUCUGAAUUAUUUUGGAGUUAACUGGAAUGCAGACUCUGGAUCCCAAAGGCCCUGUCUGAAUUCUUGCUGUGACAUUUAUUAGCUCCGUCACCUCGACAGAUGAUUUGGCAGCAAAAAGCCCUAGAUUCCCACGUGGCACCCAGAGCUGGAGUUGCGCUCAGAGAACAUAAGCUCCCUGAAGACAGUACUUUGCUUUUCUCACCCUGUGGCCCCAGCACUUGGCACAGUCCAAGGCAAGGAGAAGGGUUAAAUGCAUGGUUGAAUGAACGAGUGAGUAUCAGCUGCCCUGUUUAAAUAAGACACACACUCUCCAAGGGGCUGCCCCUCUCUCCUCCCUUUAACUGUUACUUGCCUGGCCCCACCUUGCUCUGUGCUGUAAGUUUUUUUCUUUAGUUAAGACACCUCACAUUGCCUCUUGAUAUUAGUUCCCCAUAGAAUUCACUCUGAUGACCACCUAUGUGGACCAUUGAAGUGAAUGAUAAUGUAAUGAUAUUCUUUAAGGAUUAUAAACACUAGUCUAAAAUAGGAGCUUCCUUUAAAGUCUGGCAUCACCAUCAUCAUCAUUCACCCUGCAGGCAGCACAGUGCAUAAGAGGACCUGCCAAACCCCCUUCUUUCGCUUGGAACAAAGCAAAUACUUCUGAUAGGCUUCAGAUCUGAACACCUGUUUAUUCAUUCAACAAACACAAAACUCCUUCAAAGUGUUUUUAUGACUAAAAGCCAUAUGAUAUGUCUCUUUCACCUUGAUGUCCAGAGAUUUAAAUUUUUAUUAAAUGAAUGAAUGAGUGGUGGUAAUAGCUAUAGACAAUAACUAUAUUGUGAAUCUACUAAGUACUAGAUACAUGCAUUGUUAACUUAUUCUCACAAUCUACGUGGUGGAAAUGAGUAUCCCCCUUUUACAGAAAAGGAAAAACUGAGAUUUAGUGAGGUUAGGGGAUACGUCCACAUCAUGGGCCAAACAGGGAUUGGAACUCAGAUCUUCUUGGCAUCUACAUCCUGUACCUUCCAUUGUGCUAUCAACCUCUCAGUUCAACUCUGUUCUCCAGGUAGUGGGUUACAUGGUGGCCUGUAAAAAAAGAUAUGUCCAAUCCUGAGCCCUGAAACCUGUGACAGUGAUCUUACUUGGAAAUAAGGGCCUUUGCAAAUGUUAUUAAAAAUUACUAAGAUGAGAUUAUCGUGGAUUUAGGGUAGGCUUUAAAUCUAAUGAGAAUUUCUAUAAGAGGAAGAGAGGACACAGAGACUCAGGGAGAAGGCGAGCUGAAGGCAGCUGCAGUGACUGGAGUGAUACAGCUACAAGCCAAAGGAUGCCGAUAAUUGCCCCUGGAAACUAAGAGAGACCCUCAGGUCCUCCAAAAGGAACCAACCCUGUCAACACCUCACUUUCAAACUUCCAGACUCCACAAUGAUGAGAAUAAAUUUCUGUUGUUGUAAACCAUCACGUUUGUGGUAACUUGUUAUGGCAGCCCCUGGUUCACAUCCUGAAGAAGUUCCCCAGAGAUCUUUGCUUCUGCUGUCCAUGGCGGGUGGGGGGUGGAAUUUAGUUUCAUUCAGAAUCCUAAAGCUUUACUGAUCUUCCGUGCCUCAGAAGCUCCCUAUUUCUGAUUCAGCCUUUCAGCUAUGAGGUCCCACAUAGCUUUACUCAGAAACAUUCACACAUCUCAACAAAAGUGAACUCAACUGAGAAUCACAUCUUUUUCAUCUGUUUCUUUGAAAGCCCAGUAGCACCUUUGACAGGAGUGGCAUGUGGUCUAAUGCUUUGGAGCAAUCCAGUUUAAUGCAGCAACAGCAGACCCAAGCUCCUCUCACCAGAUGAACACUAUGGCACAAUUAUUAAUAUGGGGGUAUAGGAAAGAAGGUGCCACUCUGUGUGCAGAAUUCUGUGCCAGCUUCUAGGAGGGUGGGAAGAUAGGUAACAAUCAUGAUAAUCAUUGUUAUGGUCAUUGCUUCUGUUACUGCAUGCCAUGCUGUCUGAAUGACUUGCCAGACUUUUUUUCCACUUAAAUCUCCUAGUCACCCCACCCUUGUUUUAAUGAGGACAAAUCUAAGACUUGGAGAGUUAAGUGCCAAGUUCAAGGUCACCCAAUCAAUAAGUUGAGGGUGGUG
rnacentral:lncRNA from 1 species